GUACCGUCAGGCCUAACGUGUAUUAUACGUUAGGAGGUUCUUCCCCUCUGACAGAGCUUUACGACCCAAGAGCCUUCAUCACUCACGCGGUAUUGCUGCGUCAGGCUUUCGCCCAUUGCGCAAAAUUCCCCCA
rnacentral:rRNA from 1 species